rnacentral:lncRNA from 1 species
CUGCAACAGUUGGUUCUUUGGAUUUCUCCACGUCCACUAUAGCCAGAGCUCCGCCAGUUGAUGCCGUCAAAGUUAUAUUUCCUGAACCCGAAGCAGCCGAGGGGUCCUCCACCAAGCGGAUCACCACUUGAAGCAUAGACAUGGUAGCUCCAAGGCAACCAGCAUCAACUCCGGAUACUUAUUCAACAAUCAAAUCCUCCAAAGGAGCAGAAAGCGUAGUAGGGGGACACAACUCUACUCCUGCCUCCACAGG